CUAGUAACUGCGAGUGAAGCGGGAAAAGCUCAAAUUUUGAAUCUGGCGGUCCUCGAGGCCGUCCGAGUUGUAAUCUAGAGAAGUGUCUUCCAGUGCCAUGCCGUGUACAAGUCUCCUGGAAGGGAGCAUCAUAGAGGGUGAGAAUCCCGUCUGUCGACACGGAACGUUGCGUACUUUGUGAUGCACUCUCGACGAGUCGAGUUGUUUGGGAAUGCAGCUCUAAAUGGGUGGUAAAUUCCAUCUAAAGCUAAAUACAGGCGAGAGACCGAUAGCGAACAAGUACCGUGAGGGAAAGAUGAAAAGGACUUUGAAAAGAGAGUUAAACAGUACGUGAAAUUGCUGAAAGGGAAACGCUUGAUGUCAGUCGCGUCGGUCAGGAAUCAACCUUGCUCUCUUUGCUUGGCGGACUUCCUGGUCGACGGGUCAGCAUCAGUUUCGAUCCCGCCGUAGAAAGGCGAGAGUGAAUGUGGCACGCUUAGGUGUGUGUUUAUAGCCUCUCGUCCGAUGCGGCGGUCGGGACUGAGGAACUCAGCAACGUCGUUGCGUUGCUUAGGAUGCUGGCAUAAUGGCCUUAAGCGACCCGUCUUGAAACACGGACCAAGGAGUCUAACAUGCCUGCGAGUGUUCGGGUGUCAAAACUCGGUCGCGCAACGAAAGUGAAAGUCGAGACCUCUGUCGUGGAGGGCAUCGACGCCCGGACCGGAUGUCUUUCAGACGAUGGAUCUGCGGUAGAGCAUGCAUGUUGGGACCCGAAAGAUGGUGAACUAUGCCUGAAUAGGGUGAAGCCAGANGAAACUCUGGUGGAAGCUCGUAGCGAUUCUGACGUGCA
rnacentral:rRNA from 1 species